rnacentral:rRNA from 1 species
GACGAACGCUGGCGGCGUGCUUAACACAUGCAAGUCGAACGGAAAGUCCCUGCUUUUGUUGGGUUCUCGUUUGGCGAACGUGUGUGUAACACUUGUGUAACCUUCCCUUUUCUUUGUUAUAUCUUCAGGUAACUUUGGCUAAUACCGUAUAGGAGCUCCUGCUUCAUGGUGUUGUUUGGAAAGUUUCGGCGGUUGGGGAUGUACUCGCGGCUUAUCAGCUUGUUGGUGGGGUAGUGGCUUACCAAGGCUUUGACGGGUAGCCGGCCUGAGAGGGUGACCGGAAACAAUGGGAGUGAGAUACGGCACAGAAGAAAAGGGGAGGAAGCAGGGGGGAAUAUUGCAAAAUGGGAGGAAGCAUGAGGAAGAAAAGCAGCGAGCGGGAUGAAGGCCUUGGGGUUGUAAAAAGAUGUAGAAUGAGACGAAGAGAGAGUGACGGUAAUGGGUAAAGAAGCAACGGCUAACUACGUG